rnacentral:rRNA from 1 species
GUCCACGCCGUAAACGAUGGAUACUCGCUGUGGCUGGUAUUGACCCCGGCCGUAGCCAAGUUAACACGAUAAGUAUCCCGCCUGGGAAGUACGGUCGCAAGAUUAAAACUCAAAGAAAUUGACGGGGGCCCGCACAAGCGGUGGAUUAUGUUGUUUAAUUCGAAGCAACGCGCAAAACCUUACCUAGCCUUGACAUACCAGUGAAUCCUGCAGAGAUGCAGGCGGCCCGCAAGGGACAUUGGAUACAGGUGCUGCAUGGCUGUCGU